rnacentral:lncRNA from 1 species
AUAUCAUCUAAGGAAUAUGAUAAUCUUAAAGAAUUAUAUGACAAUUAUAUUACAGAUUAUACUAAUUUACUAGAUCAAAGGAUGAAACUAUAUAUUAAAAUUCGAAAUAAGAGAAAUAGAAGAAUUUUGGAACAUUCCAAUAAAUUAGGAUAUUUUGUGCAAAAUAUGACAAGCCAUUUCAUUAAGGGUAAUAUAGGCAUUUUAGCAAAAAUGAAUAGUGAUAGACCAUUUAGAAAAAUCCCCCGUUAGGGCGGCAGUCCAAAGCACAAACUUCCAUUUCACCUCCAAUAACAAGAUAAUGAUUAGGCAAUAUUUGCAUCUUAGGAAUACAAACCUUUAUCGUCCAAAAAAGCACAUUAUAUACAAGACCAGAAAACCAACAGUCUAGCAAAUCCCUUUUUUCACGUUAAUUCCAGUAACAAGUUCAUCUCAAAACAAGAUACCACCUACCUAUAAAUUAGAUUGGUUUACAAAUAAAUGAGUCAUCUGCAUCCCCUUAUUCAAGCACGUCUGAUCACACACUAGGAAACGAAUAUGUAAUUUUACCUAUAGUUGAUCAUGAAAUAAUCAGUCCAGUUAAAAAAAAUAAGUCUUGCUCGUAAUCAAGAUAGACUAUACAUAAUUCAUAGAAAAUAAUAACGAUUUCAUUUCAAUACAGAUGCAUACGUAGACAUACAUACACAAAGUUCCUGCGUAGGCAGAGAACUGGACCAUAACACCGUUUAGUUAACAUAUAAAUUUUUUACCUGUGAAGGAAAUUAGAGUUCGAGCUUGAGUUCUUCUUUGCUAUCGGAGAAAUAAUGGAGAACGUAAGGUGUGACCCGAAUGACAGCAACCCAAACUCCGAACAUUGCCGCGUGGGUCUUGAGCUGCUUCAACGCCUCCGCCUUAUCCGGCUUCCUCAUGAACAUUCCGGGAAACAUCUUCGCCCUUGCAAUCGAAGACGCUUCUACUUCUCUCGGGUGUGCGCGCUAUUAGAGACAGAUCUAAAACCCUAACCUCAAAUUAGGGUUUUUGAAAACUUUUAUCAUCAAGAGCUCAAGAGAAGCCCAUCUUUUAUUGGGUUAAGUUCAGUGAUUAUUCCCAAUGUUUUCAAUUUUGGGCUUAGCUUUCUUUAUGGGUUACCGGGCCCAUUACUACAGCUUUAAAUUUCCGCUGGCGGCACUAAAUGCUGAAAACGAUUGAAG